rnacentral:misc_RNA from 1 species
GUGAAUCAUCGAAUUUUUGAACGCAAAUUGCACUCCCCGGUUUUCCGGGAGAGUAUGCCUGUUUGAGGGUCAGCCUAACAAAAAUCGACAUUGUUGCUGUUAUUUAAUGGUGACUUUCGUCGGAGUUUGGGUUAUCUUUAACCUUUUUUUUUUUUUUUGUCUAUGCGCAUUAAACUUUUUUUUAACGUUUCCUUUG